CUAAACUCAACCAGAAAGAUUGGGCAUUGCUGCAUGAUUUUCUAGCAGUUUGCUGACGAGCAGUCUCUUACCAGUCUGAUUCUUGUUGAUGACCCCUAGAAGCUUUGGGUAUUUUUUUCGUCAUUGGAAUUCCACAGUAUCAGCAAUAGGCAUCUAGUUGUGUUUCAUGUCUUUUUCCCGUCCCCAUCUGUGUGACAUUCAAUUGACUCUUUCAUUCUGAAGACCCUUGCCUUUCUUUGGGUCAGGGCCUUUGAGUAGUUCUUUAUUUUUCCCCUCCCCUUCUCUUUGUGUCAAUUGAGGAUUGUGUGUAAAUGCAACAGAAAAUUUGACUAAACAUUGGCUUUACAAA
rnacentral:lncRNA from 10 species